GGUGGGAUACUCAAGCGGUCAACGAGGGCAGACUGUAAAUCUGCUGGCUACGCCUUCCAAGGUUCGAAUCCUUGUCCCACCACCA
rnacentral:tRNA from 1 species